rnacentral:ncRNA from 1 species
GAGAAGUUUUAUUCUUGCUUUUUCAUUUGAUAUUUGCUUGUUUUAUAUGUAAGGUUUUGCGUGAUUUAAUCUUUUCUCUAAAGGGGUUUAGAUAAUGUUUAUUUAUUCUCAUUAGUUAUUAUUGGGUGGUCAAGUGUACUUGUAUUUAGCAAUUCAUUUUAGUUUCGGUUAAAUUUUGUGCCAGCAGCUGCGGUUAUACCUUGGAGGCGUUUGAAUGUGUUUGGUAUUGUAGUUAUUAUGUUUAGUUUGUGGUUGAUUUAUUUUUCGGGUUGGUUAGGUGGAAUUUUUAUUUUAUUUGUGUCGUUUAAAGUUUUUUGGAGGCUAUGAAACUCCUUGUAUAGACUAGGAUUAGAUACCCUAUUAUUUUGGAGUGUUAAUUUUUGUGCCUGAGUAGUAUUAGUUAUGUUCUUGAAACUUAAAGAAUUUGGCGGUAUCUUAUUCCAUCCAGAGGAAUCUGUCUCGUUAUCGAUAGUCCGCGUUGGACCUUACUUGGUUUAAAAUUUAUUGUUUGUAUACCGCCGUAUGAUUGAUUAUCUUUUUAGGGUUUCUUUAAUUUUCUAGUUUCUUUAUUUUGAUUUAUUUCAGGUCAAGGUGCAGCUUAUUUCUAAGUGGUAUGAUGGAUUACAUUGUCAUUUGUUUGUUUGGAUUGCUUGUUUUAAUAUUUGCAUGAAAUUGGAUUUGGUUGUAAUGUCUUGUAGAUUGUCUUCAUGAUAAUUGGUUCUGGGAUAUGUACACAUCGCCCGUCGCUCUCGUUUAUUUGUUGAUGAGAUAAGUCGUAACAAAGUGGUUGUACCGGAAGGUGUGGCUGGAUUGAU